rnacentral:rRNA from 1 species
AAUGAACGCUGGCGGCGUGCUUAACACAUGCAAGUCGAACGAGAAAGGGAUUGCUUGCAAUCCCGAGUAGAGUGGCGCACGGGUGAGUAACGCGUAAGUAAUCUACCCCUGUAUUCGGAAUACCCCACCGAAAGGUGAGCUAAUACCGGAUACGUUUAUCUUGAUGCGAAUGAUGAUAAAGAAAGGUGGCCUCUUCUUGAAAGCUACUGUACAGGGACGAGCUUGCGUACCAUUAGCUAGUUGGUAGGGUAAUGGCCUACCAAGGCGACGAUGGUUAGCGGGUCUGAGAGGAUGAUCCGCCACACUGGAACUGGAACACGGACCAGACACCUACGGGAGGCAG